rnacentral:rRNA from 1 species
GACGAAUCGUGCGAACGUUGUUCGGAAUCACGGGGCUUAAAGGGCGCGUAGGCGGGCUGCCGCGUCCGGGGGGAAAUCCUCCCGCUCAACGGGAGAACGGCCUCGGAUACGGGCGGCCUCGAGGGGGGUAGGGGCAUCUGGAACUGUGAGUGGAGCGGUGAAAUGCGUUGAUAUUCACAGGAACUCCGGUGGCGAAGGCGAGGUGCUGGACCCCAUCUGACGCUGAGGCGCGAAAGCCAGGGGAGCGAACGGG